rnacentral:lncRNA from 1 species
UAGAGAGUGAGACUAAAAAGCCCAAAGGAAGGCCCGGCCCACGUUUCAUUUUCACUUCAAACCCCACCGCAUUCCCCCCCCUACUUCCGCCCAAAAAUAAAAACAAAACCCCGACGUUUCUUUUACUUAUCCCGAUUUCGGACACCCCAAACGAUCUGCUCGCAGCCCAGGUCCCUCUCUCCGCAGCUCUGCGUUUGCUGGCAGCAGGCAGCAGGCACCAGCUCUCUUGCAUUUUCUGGGUAACUCGCGACGGAGCCUUAAUUCUUUUGUACCUGGUGAAUUUUUUUU